GACGAACGCUGGCGGCGUGCUUAACACAUGCAAGUCGAACGGAAAGGCCCCUUUGGGGGUACUCGAGUGGCGAACGGGUGAGUAACACGUGAGUAACCUGCCCUUGACUUCGGGAUAACUUCAGGAAACUGGGGCUAAUACCGGAUAGGAAUCCUUGCUGCAUGGUGGGGGUUGGAAAGCUUCGGCGGUUUUGGAUGGACUCGCGGCUUAUCAGCUUGUUGGUGGGGUAGUGGCUUACCAAGGCUUUGACGGGUAGCCGGCCUGAGAGGGCGACCGGCCACAUUGGGACUGAGAUACGGCCCAGACUCCUACGGGAGGGAGCAGUGGGGAAUAUUGCACAAUGGGCGGAAGCCUGAUGCAGCAACGCCGCGUGCGGGAUGACGGCCUUCGGGUUGUAAACCGCUUUCAGCAGGGGCGAAGCUUGUGGUGACGGUACCUGCAGAAGAAGCACCGGCUAACUACGUG
rnacentral:rRNA from 1 species